rnacentral:rRNA from 1 species
CGGCGGACGGGUGAGUAACACGUGGAUAACCUACCUAUAAGACUGGGAUAACUUCGGGAAACCGGAGCUAAUACCGGAUAAUAUAUUGAACCGCAUGGUUCAAUAGUGAAAGACGGUUUUGCUGUCACUUAUAGAUGGAUCCGCGCCGCAUUAGCUAGUUGGUAAGGUAACGGCUUACCAAGGCAACGAUGCGUAGCCGGCCUGAGAGGGUGAUCGGCCACACUGGAACUGAGACACGGUCCAG